CCUUGAUGCGCUGGGACACGCUGGGGAGGAGGGGAGGCAGAGAACUUAACUGGUCAGGGUGAUAAAGGAAGUGGAAUUUGGAGGGGAGAUGAGAGAGCACAUGAGAGUGGUUGGAAGGUGGGAGAGGUUCUGGCAACCUGGUGGGAAGAUGGAGCCAAGGCAGGAGAGGGGCCAGGGUGGCUGAAGGCUCUGAGAAGAGAGAGCACUGAUGCUCCAUUUUAAAUCAUCUGUACAAGCUGCAUUGCAAUGCCAGUGCCCUCGGCCCUCACCCGUGAGUCAGCAAAUGUCUCCCGUGACUUCACACAUGACCCUGGGGAAAGUUAAGAAAAAAGGGCUGCGUUCUACCAGAGGGCUGCCAGGGUUGUAGAAAGGGCCUUCAAGGGAGUUGAGAGCUGGAGGAGACGGAGAAUUCAGCAGAAGCAGGUGCCAGGGAAGGAGGACUAGAAGAGGUUGACUAGCAGAAAUGAAGCCCCUCCCUAGGAGGCCCCAGGCACACUGGGAGGUGAAGUGGUUCUAAAAACAUGGCCCCCAAAUUCUUUGACACUCCUCCCAUUGAGAGGUGGCGUUCUGGGUGCCCCCCCCCCCUUGAAUAUGAGCUUUGUGACUGCUCAACCAAUGGAAUAUGGUGGAAGUGACUCAAAUCUUAAGAGUCUGGUAGGUUCCACUUUCUAUUUCUGGGGCUAGUUAUUCUUGAAAUCCAGCUGCCAUGCUGUGCCCAGGGUACAUGAAGAGGCCGUGCGUGGAUGUUCUGGCCAACAGUCCCAGCUGCCAUCCCGGUUGACAACCAGUGUCAACUGCCAGACACGGGGGUGAGGAAGCCUGUGGUCACUCCAAUGCCAUUCACCUUUUAUUUGCGACCACAUGAGCAAGAACCCCUCUUUGAGCCCAGUCGGCCCCUAGAACUCUGAGAAAGAAUAACAACAUGGCAUUGUUUUACACUACGAAGUUUUGGUUGAUUCAUUUUGCAGUGAUAGUUUAACUGGAACAGGAGACAAGCCAUAAAUCUCAUCACAGGGGGACAGCCCAUGAGAGCCAAUUUUUCCUGAAAUCUUAAAGCAUAGGGGAGCCCUCCACAAGCUGUUAUACCUGGAAGAUGACAGGGGUGACAGCUGGACGAACUUGCUGUGAGACAGUUUCUGCUGUGACCUUGAGGAGACUGUCCAGGGGAGAGAGGGAAGGGUGUCAAAAAUGACUCCAAGUUUCUGUCUGGGGCACCCGUCCUCAGUGACAGCACGAGCUGCCACCGGGAGGAGGGGAAGAGGAUGCCAGGUUUGGAGACAGAUGAUGAGGCCAGUUUUGUUGUUGCAUUUGCGAAGUGUUUUCUGUAAAUACCAGAAGCUGCUGACAGAUGAGUGAAAAACAGGAAUCCUUGCUGGAAGCUUCAGACCCUCUUCCCAAAGCAAAGAGACGAGGAAUCCCAAACCUCAUUCAUAAAUACCCACACGAGCUUCUUCCUUCGCUCAUGCGUAAGCAAAGCAUCCAGACAGGAGCAUCCAGACAGGAGCAUCCAGACAGGAGCACUCAGACAGGAGCAUCCAGACAGGAGCACUCAUACAGGAGCACUCAGACAGGAGCAUCCAGACAGGAACAUCCAGACAGGAGCACUCAGACAGGAGCAUCCAGACAGGAGCACUCAUACAGGAGCACUCAGACAGGAGCAUCUAGACAGGAGCACUGAGACAGGAGCAUCCAGACAGGAGCACUCAAACAGGAGCACUCAGACAGGAGCACUCUGUGUGACAGCACAGACCUGGAGCCGGCCUGCGGGAGGUGGAAGCCAGCCCUGCUCUUACGAGCCGCCUGGCCUUGGGCAGGUGACAUAAUCCCUCUGUCUCUCAGUUGCCUUAUCUCUAAAUGGGGACGACAGUACCUGUAUUAUUGUCAGGAUGAAGCGUGCGUGCAUGGAAAACUCUCAGAACAGGGCUUGCUGCACAAGUCCGUAUUGCGUGUCAGCUAUUCAUCCUCAACAGACAAUUUUCGAGCGUCUGCUGUGUGCCGGAGCCCGCGUUGCACGGAGGACGCAGCAGUGCACGGACAGACUCAGGCCCCGCCCUGUGGAGCACAUGUUCUAGCCCUUCUUCGGCCCCUGGCCCUCUGUGUCCUCAGGUUUUCUUUCAGCUCUAUUGUCCCAGGGGGUCCUCAGAAAGGCCCCAUGAGGUUGGCACAAUGACCUUAUCCCCAUCUGACAGAUGCAGACACUGAGGCCGGGAGAGAACUGAUGUUCUCUUUGCACAGAGCCUCGAUCUGCUGUCACAAAUCUGUGUGUUCCUUCAACAAAGGCACUGUGACACACGUGGUCCAGAGGCCCGUGUCUCCUGAGGGCCAGCUGUGUUUCCUCUGCCUGGAAGCCCUCCAGCAAAUGAAAUCUCAACUGGGACCAACCUCUCGCCCCAGAGCAGGGACUCUCUGCAGCCCCUCACGGCAGAUGUUCUGGAGCCCCAGGUGGGGGCGCUGUGCCCGCGCUGCCCGUCUUCCUGCGUGGGUUCCUGGGGGAGGGGGGUGUUUUUCCACUUGAUGUCACCUGAUAUCUUCUUCACAGCAGCCUGAAGUGCCAUCAUUUAUGAUUCAUUCCCUCAGGUGAAGUGGUUGCUGCCAGGAACAUCUUUUAAUUUCUCAAAUUCCCCUGGGAUGGGCUGCGAACACCUUAGUGAGCUGAGGACUGGUCUUAGAGAUGAUCACUGUCUUCGAGAGAUGACAAAACUCUGGUCCGGGAGGAAGAGUGACUUGCCCAAGGACACAUAACCAGUCAGUGGCAAAGCCAGGACGAGAAGCUGGCGUGCUCCCCCUGCGUCCCUGCCCUGGAUGGGAGGGACAGACGGACACACGAUGCUCCCGUGCGUCUCGGGCUGCUUGGCAGCCUGCACGGAGCUUCCCCAUCAGAGCUCACUCGAUUCAGGCGCCCCGGUGGGCCCGCCUCCUCACUGAUGUGGGACGUGGACAGGAGCUGUCUGGGGCUGCCGCAGCCAUGCUCUCUUCUUCCGACAACAGAGCCUGGGUUAUUAUUUAGGGAACUAGCCUUAGAUGCGGUUCACGGGUCCCUGCUCCCGGAUCCCUGGAGUGGCCCCGGGUUCUGGCCUUUCUGAGGCCUAGUUUAGCGCCUCCUCCCAUUCUGUGGGCAGCCCCAGAUCCUCCCGAUGCAGCCCCUUUUUUCUUGUUUCGCUUCACUAAGCCAAAGCAGGUCUCUGUCACUUGCUUUUAAAGAGCUUUAAUUGACACACCCGCUCCCGGAUGAGGAGACGAGGUGAGGCCAGGAGAGGUGAGUAAGAUGGAGGGCUGGGACCGCAGCCCCGUCUCCUGCCUCCCAGCCCUGCCUCUGCCUUGCACCACACUGCUGACCUGAGAGGCUGGGUCC
rnacentral:lncRNA from 1 species